rnacentral:rRNA from 1 species
UACGGGGGGGGUGAAGCGUUGUUCGGUAAUUACUGGGCGUAAAGGGCGCGUAGGCGGCCUUCUAGGGUCGGACGUGAAAUCCCGUCGGCUUAACCGGGGAACUGCGUCUGAUACUGGAUGGCUUGAGUUUGGGAGAGGGAUGCGGAAUUCCAGGUGUAGCGGUGAAAUGCGUAGAUAUCUGGAGGAACACCGGUGGCGAAGGCGGCAUCCUGGACCAACACUGACACUGAUGAGCGAAAGCCAGGGGAGCGAAACGGG